GGGGAAUAUUGGGCAAUGGGCGAAAGCCUGACCCAGCCACGCCGCGUGAGUGAUGAAGGCCUUCGGGUCGUAAAGCUCUGUGGGGAGGGACGAAUAAGUGCCGUACUAACACUACGGUGCCCUGACGGUACCUCCUUAGCAAGCACCGGCUAACUCUGUGCCAGCAGCCGCGGUAAUACCGAGGUCCCAAGCGUUGUUCGGAUUCACUGGGCGUAAAGGGUGCGUAGGUGGUGGGGUAAGUCGGAUGUGAAAUCUCGGAGCUCAACUCCGAAAUGGCAUUGGAAACUACCCUGCUUGAGGGUCGGAGGGGGGACUGGAAUUCUCGGUGUAGCAGUGAAAUGCGUAGAUAUCGAGAGGAACACCAGUGGCGAAGGCGAGUCCCUGGACGACUCCUGACACUGAGGCACGAAAGCUAGGGGAGCAAA
rnacentral:rRNA from 1 species